rnacentral:rRNA from 1 species
AAACUUGAGUUAAUACCGGAUAAUGACUUCGGUCCAAAGAUUUAUCGCCUAGGGAUGAGCCCGCGUCGGAUUAGCUAGUUGGUGAGGUAAAAGCUCACCAAGGCGACGAUCCGUAGCUGGUCUGAGAGGAUGAUCAGCCACACUGGGACUGAGACACGGCCCAGACUCCUACGGGAGGCAGCAGUGGGGAAUAUUGGACAAUGGGCGAAAGCCUGAUCCAGCAAUGCCGUGUGAGUGAUGAAGCCUUAGGGUUGUAAAGCUCUUUUACCCGGGAUGAUAAUGACAGUACCGGGAGAAUAAGCCCCGGCUAACCC